rnacentral:rRNA from 1 species
GAUGAACGCUGGCGGCGUGCCUAAUACAUGCAAGUCGAGCGAAUGGAUUAAGAGCUUGCUCUUAUGAAGUUAGCGGCGGACGGGUGAGUAACACGUGGGUAACCUGCCCAUAAGACUGGGACAACUCCGGGAAACCGGGGCUAAUACCGGAUAACAUUUUGAACCGCAUGGUUCGAAAUUGAAAGGCGGCUUCGGCUGUCACUUAUGGAUGGACCCGCGUCGCAUUAGCUAGUUGGUGAGGUAACGGCUCACCAAGGCAACGAUGCGUAGCCGACCUGAGAGGGUGAUCGGCCACACUGGGACUGAGACACGGCCCAGACUCCUACGGGAGGCAGCAGUAGGGAAUCUUCCGCAAUGGACGAAAGUCUGACGGAGCAACGCCGCGUGAGUGAUGAAGGCUUUCGGGUCGUAAAACUCUGUUGUUAGGAAGAACAAGUGCUAGUUGAAUAAGCUGGCACCUUGACGGUACCUAACCAGAAAGCCACGGCUAACUACGUGCCAGCCGCCGCGGUAA